rnacentral:lncRNA from 1 species
AUGACGUGUAAAGGAAGGCAGAGACUAUGCAGAGCCUCGAGAAUGCAGUCUCUCUCUCCCCCAGAGGUCUCUUCUGAGCAAGAGACUCCCCUUGUCUCGGCUUGGGCAGAGGGAGGCAGGGGGCUGGAGAAGAUGGCCCUUGAGGUCUCUUCCAAAGCAAAGAAGCUGUGGUGCUUUUCUCUCAUUGGUGCUCUUCCCUCUGCCCCACCCUGCAGGUUCACCCACCAGUCACUCCAGCAGACACCCAUGAUGGGGACCAUGACCCCCUUGAGUGCUCAGGGGGUUCCUGCUGGUGUCCGCCCCAGUCCCAUCCUGCCUGAGCAGCAGCAGCAGCAGCAACAGCAGCAGCAGCAGCAGCAGCAGCAACAGCAGCAAUACCACAUUCGGCAGCAGCAGCAGCAACAGCAGCUCCUGAGGCAGCAGCAGCAGCAGCAGCAGCAGCAGCAGCAGCAGCAGCAGCAGCAGCAGCAGCAGCAGCAGCAGCAGCAACAGCAGCAGCAGCAGCAGCAGCAGCAGCAGCAGGCAGCGCCCCCCCCACCUCAACCACAGCCGCAGCCCCAGGUAGCCGCCGCGGUGCCACAGCCCCAGGCUCAGGGACAGCCGUCCGGGCUGGGCAUGCAGCCCAUUUUCCAGCGGCAGGGCCUUCAGCAGACACAGCAGCAGCAACAGACAGCAGCCCUGGUCCGGCAGCUCCAGCAGCAGCUUUCCAAUACGCAGCCUCAGCCCAACACCAACAUGUUUGGACGAUACUAAGCCACCUGAAGGAGCUGCCCGUUGACUGGACCUGACCCUGGCCCCUUCCUUGGGCUCCAUUUUUAAUGAGUUUUUAAUAUUUUUGUUAAGAUGAGGCUGCCGCACUGUCGGGUUUUGUACACUAUUUAUACGGAUACCCUGGGGCUGGCUGCAGCACCCUAUAUACAGAGCCUCUUUGCAAAGGGAGUGUUUGGGAUCUGUGUUUGUUGGGAUGGGAGUGGGUGGCGGGGGCUUAGGGAAACAUGUAAAGGUUGUGGCUGAUGCAGCCUGGGUCCUUGACAUUGAAAGGGACCUCAGAGGCCAUCUAACCCAACCCAAAGGCCCUCAGGUCUGUUCGUAAGGUCAGAGAUUUCAAGCUGAAAGACACCUUAGAGGUCAUUCAGUCCAGCCUCCUCAUUUCAUGGAGGAGCAAACUGAGGCCCAGAUGGGUUCAAUGAUUUGCCCAGAGUCACAUAACUCAUGUCUGAGGUGGCAUUUGAACCCAGAACUUCUUAAGGGGAGGUGGAACUCUUCUGCCCUGCGGAGUCCUAGUGCCAGAAGAGGCUCACUGGGCCUAAUGCUUAGGCUUCUGGGCUUCUCCCUCCCCCUUCUCUCCUUCCUUCACUUCUCAGAGGGGAGUUUGCUGGGGCCUGAUUUGUCCCCUAAGCAAGAAGGAAGAGUCUUCCUCCCUGUCUUGUUGGAUUGCUCAGAUGAAUCUCAGUUGCUUUGCAGGAGGCUUUCCUGAGCCUUGGGGGAGGGGGGGCAGGGUCUUGAUUCCUCCCAUCCCCACAAAAGAGAAGCUCCAGGACUGGUCCUGGUUAAUCUGCACAGAACCAAGGGGAGAACUAGGUUGGGCAGGAGUGGGGUAGAGUGAGAGCUGCCUGGGCACCCAACUCUCAGCAGCUCUUCUCCAGAUGAGUCCCUGAUUAGCCCCAAGGCCCAAGUUAGGUGGAGGACCAGGGCUGACUCUUGGAAAUGACCUUGAGUGGGGAAAUGCUGUCCAGACCCCUACUGCCGGAGGUGCUGAGGGCCCGGGCCCAGAUCUCAAGGCCCUGAGAAGAAAAGGCCCAGAUUGGGGGAUUGGGGGAAACCUGGGAGAGCAAUGUACACCAGAACAGGGUGAAAAGUGGUAUCUGCCCUGUGAGUCAAUAGCUGGGGAUGCAACAUGGGGCUGGGCCAGACCUGGCCAGACCUGGGAUGGGAAGGCAGCUGGGAAAUGGUGGACGGAUGGACAGACGGCAGGGUCGGACUCCCUACUAGGGUACCAAUAAAGAUGGCCAGAGUCAGAGGAAGAGAAGGGGG